rnacentral:rRNA from 1 species
CCUACGGGAGGCAGCAGUAGGAAAUCUUUCACAAUGGGCGAAAGCCUGAUGGAGCAACGCCGCGUGCAGGAUGAAGGCCUUCGGGUUGUAAACUGCUUUUAUAAGCGAGAAAUAUGAUGGUAACUUAUGAAUAAGGAUCGGCUAACUACGUGCCAGCAGCCGCGGUCAUACGUAGGAUCCGAGCAUUAUCCGGAGUGACUGGGUGUAAAGAGUUGCGUAGGUGGCAUAAUAAGUAGCUAGUGAAAUCUGGUGGCUCAACCAUUCAGACUAUUAGCUAAACUGUUAAGCUCGAGACCGUUAGGGGUAACUGGAAGUUCUAGUGUAGGAGUGAAAUCCGUAGAUAUUAGAAGGAACACCAAUAGCGUAGGCAGGUUGCUGGGACGGUUCUGACACUAAGGCACGAAAGCGUAGGGAGCAAACGGGAUUAGAUACCCCAGUAGUC